rnacentral:rRNA from 1 species
UACGUAGGGUGCAAGCGUUGUCCGGAAUUAUUGGGCGUAAAGAGCUCGUAGGCGGUCUGUCGCGUCUGCUGUGAAAACUCGGGGCUUAACCCCGGGCCUGCAGUGGGUACGGGCAGACUGGAGUGUGGUAGGGGAGACUGGAAUUCCUGGUGUAGCGGUGGAAUGCGCAGAUAUCAGGAGGAACACCGAUGGCGAAGGCAGGUCUCUGGGCCACUACUGACGCUGAGAAGCGAAAGCAUGGGGAGCGAACAGG